AGAACGAACGCUGGCGGCAUGCCUAACACAUGCAAGUCGAACGAGACCUUCGGGUCUAGUGGCGCACGGGUGCGUAACGCGUGGGAAUCUGCCCUUGGGUACGGAAUAACAGUGAGAAAUUACUGCUAAUACCGUAUGAUGUCUUCGGACCAAAGAUUUAUCGCCCAGGGAUGAGCCCGCGUUGGAUUAGCUAGUUGGUGGGGUAAAGGCCUACCAAGGCGACGAUCCAUAGCUGGUCUGAGAGGAUGAUCAGCCACACUGGGACUGAGACACGGCCCAGACUCCUACGGGAGGCAGCAGUGGGGAAUAUUGGACAAUGGGCGAAAGCCUGAUCCAGCAAUGCCGCGUGAGUGAAGAAGGCCUUAGGGUUGUAAAGCUCUUUUACCCGGGAAGAUAAUGACUGUACCGGGAGAAUAAGCCCGGCUAACUCCGCGCCAGCAGCCGC
rnacentral:rRNA from 1 species